GAGCUCUCUUCCAAGCUCCAUUAAUUAAGAAGGGUUUUUUUUUAAUGAGGCCUUCAAUUCUUAUAAAAAAAAUUAUUAUGAAGUUUUGUCUUCUCCAAGGGCUGAUAGAUGUUCCUAGGUAUUGAUUGGGCCAUUGAGGUGUUAAUUAUUGGCUGUUAGUGACCCAAAUUCUAUUCAUGCUGAAAAUAAUUGGUAUUAGAGAUUUUAUAGCUUAAGUAAUCUCCUAAAAAUGAGCUUUUGAUCUUUGAGACGUUUCUCUGCAGAUUAAAGUGUUUACAGAUUGUGAAAGCUUCAGUUUAAUGGGUAAGGAACAUGCCCUUGUCAUAUGCAAUCACAAAAAUGAUAUCGAUUGGCUAGUUGGAUGGGUUUUAGCACAGCGAUCAGGUUGUCUUGGCAGUACAUUAGCUUUAAUGAAGAAAUCAUCAAAAUUCCUGCCGAUAUGUGUCAGUAUCAUAUGUUUGAAGUAUCAAAUUUGAACAUUGAUAUAUGAUAACUCCGUA